rnacentral:rRNA from 1 species
CCUACGGGUGGCAGCAGUGGGGAAUAUUGGACAAUGGGCGAAAGCCUGAUCCAGCCAUGCCGCGUGUGUGAAGAAGGCCUUCGGGUUGUAAAGCACUUUCAGUGGGGAAGAAAGCCUUGGGGCUAAUACCCUCGAGGAAGGACAUCACCCACAGAAGAAGCACCGGCUAACUCCGUACCAGCAACCGCGGUAAUACGGAGGGUGCGAGCGUUAAUCGGAAUUACUGGGCGUAAAGCGCGCGUAGGCGGUCUGAUAAGCCGGUUGUGAAAGCCCCGGGCUCAACCUGGGAACGGCAUCCGGAACUGUCAGGCUAGAGUGCAGGAGAGGAAGGUAGAAUUCCCGGUGUAGCGGUGAAAUGCGUAGAGAUCGGGAGGAAUACCAGUGGCGAAGGCGGCCUUCUGGACUGACACUGACGCUGAGGUGCGAAAGCGUGGGUAGCAAACAGGAUUAGAUACCCGGGUAGUC